CGAGUCUUCAAUGGUGGAUUAUCUGAGUGGCGAUCUCUACAAAUCUGGAAAGCCGUCGGAAAAAUCUUCCCCUCCCUCUUCCACUCCGCCUUCGGCAUUCUAUAGCCCGCCGAAAUACGAUGAGCCUCUUCCAAAGGCCGAAAGCCCACUCAAAUAUGACGUGCCUCUUCCGAAGACCUAUAGCCCACCCAAGUAUGAUGGGGCCGCGCCUCCUCCGAAGACCUAUAGCCCACCCAAAUACGACGAGCCCGCACCUCUUCAGAAGGCGAAAUCCGUCGAUGAGAAUUUUCAGAAAGCUUCCUGGGACGCACAACCUUCGGGUUCUUUACCUCCACCCCCAGCAAAAUAUGGCCAGAGACAACAAUACUUUG
rnacentral:lncRNA from 1 species